rnacentral:rRNA from 1 species
UACGUAGGGUGCGAGCGUUAAUCGGAAUUACUGGGCGUAAAGCGUGCGCAGGCGGUUUUGCAAGCCGGAUGUGAAAUCCCCGGGCUCAACCUGGGAAUGGCAUUCGGGACUGCAAGGCUGGAGUGCGGCAGAGGAGACUGGAAUUCCUGGUGUAGCAGUGAAAUGCGCAGAUAUCAGGAGGAACACCGAUGGCGAGGGCAGGUCUCUGGGCCACUACUGACGCUGAGAAGCGAAAGCAUGGGGAGCGAACAGG